ACGCUGGCGGCGUGCCUAAUACAUGCAAGUAGAACGCUGAAGAGAGGAGCUUGCUCUUCUUGGAUGAGUUGCGAACGGGUGAGUAACGCGUAGGUAACCUGCCUUGUAGCGGGGGAUAACUAUUGGAAACGAUAGCUAAUACCGCAUAACAAUGGAUGACACAUGUCAUUUAUUUGAAAGGGGCAAUUGCUCCACUACAAGAUGGACCUGCGUUGUAUUAGCUAGUAGGUGAGGUAACGGCUCACCUAGGCGACGAUACAUAGCCGACCUGAGAGGGUGAUCGGCCACACUGGGACUGAGACACGGCCCAGACUCCUACGGGAGGCAGCAGUAGGGAAUCUUCGGCAAUGGGGGCAACCCUGACCGAGCAACGCCGCGUGAGUGAAGAAGGUUUUCGGAUUGUAAAGCUCUGUUGUAAGUCAAGAACGAGUGUGAGAGUGGAAAGUUCACACUGUGACGGUAGCUUACCAGAAAGGGACGGCUAACUACGUGCCAGCAGCCGCGGUAAUACGUAGGUCCCGAGCGUUGUCCGGAUUUAUUGGGCGUAAAGCGAGCGCAGGCGGUUUGAUAAGUCUGAAGUUAAAGGCUGUGGCUCAACCAUAGUUCGCUUUGGAAACUGUCAAACUUGAGUGCAGAAGGGGAGAGUGGAAUUCCAUGUGUAGCGGUGAAAUGCGUAGAUAUAUGGAGGAACACCGGUGGCGAAAGCGGCUCUCUGGUCUGUAACUGACGCUGAGGCUCGAAAGCGUGGGGAGCGAACAGGAUUAGAUACCCUGGUAGUCCACGCCGUAAACGAUGAGUGCUAGGUGUUGGAUCCUUUCCGGGAUUCAGUGCCGCAGCUAACGCAUUAAGCACUCCGCCUGGGGAGUACGACCGCAAGGUUGAAACUCAAAGGAAUUGACCGGGGGCCCGCACAAGCGG
rnacentral:rRNA from 1 species